rnacentral:rRNA from 1 species
UACAGAGGUCUCAAGCGUUUGUUCGGAUUCAUUGGGCGUAAAGGGUGCGUAGGCGGCGCGGUAAGUCGGGUGUGAAAUCUCGGGGCUUAACUCCGAAACUGCAUUCGAUACUGCCGUGCUUGAGGACUGGAGAGGAGACUGGAAUUUACGGUGUAGCGGUGAAAUGCGUAGAUAUCGUAAGGAAGACCAGUGGCGAAGGCGGGUCUCUGGACAGUUCCUGACGUGAGGCACGAAGGUCAGGGGAGCAAACGGG